rnacentral:rRNA from 1 species
GGUACCUACGGGGCGCAGCAGUAGGGAAUCUUCCACAAUGGACGAAAGUCUGAUGGGGCAACGCCGCGUGAGUGAAGAAGGGUUUCGGCUCGUAAAGCUCUGUUGGUAGUGAAGAAAGAUAGAGGUAGUAACUGGCCUUUAUUUGACGGUAAUUACUUAGAAAGUCACGGCUUACUACGUGGCAGCAGCCGCGGUAAUACGUAGGUGGCAAGCGUUGUCCGGAUUUAUUGGGCGUAAAGCGAGGGCAGGCGGU